UUGAACGCUGGCGGCAGGCCUAACACAUGCAAGUCGAACGGUAACAGGAAACAGCUUGCUGUUUCGCUGACGAGUGGCGGACGGGUGAGUAAUGUCUGGGAAACUGCCUGAUGGAGGGGGAUAACUACUGGAAACGGUAGCUAAUACCGCAUAACGUCGCAAGACCAAAGAGGGGGACCCUCGGGCCUCUUGCCAUCGGAUGUGCCCAGAUGGGAUUAGCUUGUUGGUGGGGUAACGGCUCACCAAGGCGACGAUCCCUAGCUGGUCUGAGAGGAUGACCAGCCACACUGGAACUGAGACACGGUCCAGACUCCUACGGGAGGCAGCAGUGGGGAAUAUUGCACAAUGGGCGCAAGCCUGAUGCAGCCAUGCCGCGUGUAUGAAGAAGGCCUUCGGGUUGUAAAGUACUUUCAGCGGGGAGGAAGGGAGUAAAGUUAAUACCUUUGCUCAUUGACGUUACCCGCAGAAGAAGCACCGGCUAACUCCGUGCCAGCAGCCGCGGUAAUACGGAGGGUGCAAGCGUUAAUCGGAAUUACUGGGCGUAAAGCGCACGCAGGCGGUUUGUUAAGUCAGAUGUGAAAUCCCCGGGCUCAACCUGGGAACUGCAUCUGAUACUGGCAAGCUUGAGUCUCGUAGAGGGGGGUAGAAUUCCAGGUGUAGCGGUGAAAUGCGUAGAGAUCUGGAGGAAUACCGGUGGCGAAGGCGGCCCCCUGGACGAAGACUGACGCU
rnacentral:rRNA from 1 species